UGAAGGAAAGUUUGGAGAGAGAAAAGCUACCAGAGAUGUGGAGACAGCAGGUCAAACAGCGACUGGAUGCAGCAGAGGAGCAGAGACACGAAAUACUGGAUGCUGCUUUCAGCCCCGAAGAUCGGCUGCAGUCAUUAGACAGGAAAUGGGCAGAGAAAGAAGAGGGAAGACAUGCAGCAAAGCUCCCAGGGUCAGGAAUCGAACCCAGGACGGCUGCAUCGAGGACUAUAGCCUCUGCAGAUGGGGCUCACGCUCUGCCGCUACAGCACACAAUGCUUCCUCUUGCUCAGCCUCAUAGGUUUUAUUCUCCUCUUUUUCCUUCAAACUAAAAAGGACAAUUAAAAGUAUGUAGCCAGGA